rnacentral:rRNA from 1 species
GACGUAGGGCGCGAGCGUUGUCCGGAUUUAUUGGGCGUAAAGAGCUCGUAGGCGGCUUGUCGCGUCGUCCGUGAAAACCUGCAGCUCAACUGCAGGCUUGCGGUCGAUACGGGCAGGCUAGAGUUCGGUAGGGGAGACUGGAAUUCCUGGUGUAGCGGUGAAAUGCGCAGAUAUCAGGAGGAACACCGGUGGCGAAGGCGGCUAUCUGGACAGAGUCUGACGCUGAGGCGCGAAAGCUAGGGGAGCAAACAGG